rnacentral:rRNA from 1 species
AGCGUAGGCUGCACGGUAAGUCAGAUGUGAAAGCCCGGGGCUCAACCCCGGAACUGCAUCCGAUACUGCCGUGCUUGAGGACUGGAGAGGAGUCUGGAAUUCACAGUGGAGCAGUGAAAUGCGUAGAUAUUGUGAGGAACACUAGUAGCGAAGGCGAGACUCUGGACAGAUCCUGACGCUGAGGCUCGAAGGCCAGGGGAGCAAACG